rnacentral:rRNA from 1 species
AGAGUUUGAUCAUGGCUCAGGAUGAACGCUAGCUACGGGCUUAACACAUGCAAGUCGAGGGGCAGCAUGGUCUUAGCUUGCUAAGGCCGAUGGCGACCGGCGCACGGGUGAGUAACACGUAUCCAACCUGCCGUCUACUCUUGGACAGCCUUCUGAAAGGAAGAUUAAUACAAGAUGGCAUCAUGAGUCCGCAUGUUCACAUGAUUAAAGGUAUUCCGGUAGACGAUGGGGAUCG